rnacentral:lncRNA from 1 species
AACAGUUCAUCGUAUCAUCCCAUCACUCAAAUUCACAAAGAACAAACCAACCCUUUUCAAUCAUCAGUCAUUUUCUUCUGCUUUCAGACCGAAAUUCUUCCUUCAAUCCUUUCUCCUUCUUCCUCUUCCUCCACAGAUUUCCUGGUAUGCACCUUAUCCAUUUCUCAAUUCCCCCCCACACAUCUCUUUCAGCUCCCCUCUUUGAUGGGUUCCUUUCUGAUCCAUUCUUAGGGUUCUUUCUAG